GGCUGGUCUGAAGCUAGUGUGUUAUCUCAGUUGAUUAUUCAUAGUCAGUUACAGAUAGAACUCCUUGUUCUACUACUUUCCCCCCUUCUCACUACUGCACUUGUCUAAAAA
rnacentral:Y_RNA from 1 species